GUGCUCAGUUGGGCAGCCCAGGCACUAAAAUGAACACAGAGAAGAUUAGCAAGGCCCCUGUGCAAAGAUGACACGCAAAUUUAUGAAGCGUAUUAUUCCGUG